GCUGUAGUCACCAUCACCAAGAGCUUACAAUUCAAUUAGGCAUCUGGGUGAUUCCUAUGUUGAAGUCACCCUGUGUCCAUUGUGGGUGCAGGGUGUGUGUGUGUUAUGCGGUUGUUUGGGGUUAAAUGUUAGUGUGUUCUCCUGUCUUGCUAAUGCUUGCAAUCAACUCGGUGGAUUUGGCUGUGGAGCUUGUACAGCGCCACCUCUUGGUUGCAAGGAUCUAGCAACAGCUAUAUGCAAU